GAUGAACGCUGGCGGCGUGCCUAAUACAUGCGAGUCGAGCGAACAGACGAGGAGCUUGCUCCUUCGACGUUAGCGGCGGACGGGUGAGUAACACGUAGGUAACCUACCUAUAAGACUGGGAUAACUUCGGGAAACCGGAGCUAAUACCGGAUAAUAUUUCGAACCGCAUGGUUCGAUAGUGAAAGAUGGCUUUGCUAUCACUUAUAGAUGGGCCUGCGCCGUAUUAGCUAGUUGGUAAGGUAACGGCUUACCAAGGCAACGAUACGUAGCCGACCUGAGAGGGUGAUCGGCCACACUGGAACUGAGACACGGUCCAGACUCCUACGGGAGGCAGCAGUAGGGAAUCUUCCGCAAUGGGCGAAAGCCUGACGGAGCAACGCCGCGUGAGUGAUGAAGGUCUUCGGAUCGUAAAACUCUGUUAUUAGGGAAGAACAAACGUGUAAGUAACUGUGCACGUCUUGACGGUACCUAAUCAGAAAGCCACGGCUAACUACGUG
rnacentral:rRNA from 1 species